rnacentral:rRNA from 1 species
AGCAGCCGCGGUAAUUCCAGCUCCAAUAGCGUAUAUUAAAGUUGUUGCAGUUAAAAAGCUCGUAGUUGAAUUUCGGGGUUCUACCGUUGGUCGGGCAAUAGUCUGUACUGGCGUGUGGAAUUUCUACCUUCUGGGGAACCAUCAUGUUAUUUAUUUAGCGUGGUGGGAAACCAGGACCUUUACCUUGAAAAAAUUAGAGUGUUCAAAGCAGGCUUACGUCUGAAUACAUUAGCAUGGAAUAAUAAAAUAGGACGGUGGUCCUGUUUUGUUGGUUUCUGAAUCACCGUAAUGAUUAAUAGGGAUAGUUGGGGGCAUUAGUAUUCAAUUGUCAGAGGUGAAAUUCUUGGAUUUAUUGAAGACUAACUUCUGCGAAAGCAUUUGCCAAGGAUGUUUUCAUUAAUCAAGAACGAAAGUUAGGGGAUCGAAGACGAUCAGAUACCGUCGUAGUCUUAACCAUAAACUAUGCCGACUAGGGAUCGGACGAUGUUAAUUUUUCUUGACUCGUUCGGCGCCUUACGGGAACCAAAGUGUUUGGGUU